AAACCAGCCGAAUUUCGUACUGAGAACGGGGGAACCAUGUAAUUGGGGUGAAUUUCAUGAUCUCUUUCGGAUCAUGGAUAGGGCGGCCUGUGAUAAUGCCCGAAUCCGUCAGCUAACCUCGUAGGCUGU
rnacentral:sRNA from 1 species